CCCUUAGAUGUUCUGGGCCGCACGCGUGCUACACUGGUGAAUCCAGCGAGUCUUAACCUUAACCGAAAUGGUUUGGGUAAUCUUGUGAAAGUUCAUCGUGACAGGGAUUGAUCAUUGCAAUUAUUGAUCAUGAACGAGGAAUUCCUAGUAAAGGCGAGUCAUCAUCUCGCUUUGAUUACGUCCCUGCCCUUUGUACACACCGCCCGUCGCUACUACCGAUUGAAUGGUUUAGUGAGAUCUCCGGAUUGGCUUCCUUGGUACCUUCGCGGGUCCAACGUGAAGCCGAGAAGCUGCUCAAACUUGAUCAUUUAGAGGAAGUAAAAGUCGUAACA
rnacentral:rRNA from 1 species